CGGACCGGCGCACGGGUGAGUAACACGUAUGCAACCUGGCCGUCACAGGUGGAUAACCGGAAGAAAUUCCGACUAAUACAGCAUAACACUUCUGAGGGACAUCCCUUGGGAGUCAAAGGAGGCAACUCCGGUGACGGAUGGGCAUGCGGCGCAUUAGGUAGUUGGUAGGGUAACGGCCUACCAAGCCGACGAUGCGUAGGGGUUCUGAGAGGAAGGUCCCCCACAUUGGAACUGAGACACGGUCCAAACUCCUACGGAAGGCAGCAG
rnacentral:rRNA from 1 species